ACCCCCUAGGUGAAAAUCCUGGCUCCACCACUGCAUAUAGUGCCAAAGCCUUCUGAAAAUCUCCAACCAUGUUUUGAUUAGUUAUAAGGAUUAGGCCUCAUUUGUUUGCACUUAAUGUGGGUCUGAAUCUGAAUGGUUAAGAUUUCAGCCCAUUAAGUGCAUUUGUUUUUUUUUUAAAAUAAUCUCUUAAUAGGUCUAGUAACGUCUGAUUCGGUCAGAUGUAUGGAAGAGUCUGAACACUAUUCAGACUCUUUUUAAAGCCCUAUUUUAUUUUCCUAAAAAUCUCUAACGCCGUUUUUUUCUGCCUAUUUACGCUUGAAGCCUCUCUCUUUCUCUAAUAGCUCGGCUCUAUCUCUCUUUCUCCUGUUUCUUCAAGUAACAGUCGGCUGAAAUUCUUUGCUCUAUUGUUAAUAAUUUUAUCAAGAAGGAGCGCAUCAAUGAUGACUUAUUUAGUCAAUUUGAUACGCCUCAAAUAAUUUUUGAUGAAGAAGGACAACAAGAAGAAGCAUUGGAUGAAACAAAUGGACCUAGUUGGACAGCUGAAGAUUCUCAGAUAAUGACCGAUAUGCGGGAGCAACUUGCACUCCAACUAAUGCAAAGAAGAUGAAAUACUUGAGAGUUCCAUAUUUAAGUUAUUUGAACUUUUUUCCUCCAGUGUUGGAAUGUUAAAAUUUGAUGAUUCUUAGUUAGUUAUUCAAAUACUCUAAUAUUUAUGCUUUUAAAUCAUAACUAUAUUUGAGAUAUUAUUUUGCUUUGUUGAAUAAGUUUGAUUAAUAGAUUAAUUUAUGUUGAAUUUAAA